GUAUAUAAAGCAAGGUUGAAGAUGAUGUUCUAUACCAAAAUGGAUUCUUCAAGAAAAUAUUCUCUGACAUUGGCAUUCUUAUUGGCUUUUUUCAUCAUUUCUUCAGAUAUGAUGAUGAAAUCUGAGGCAGAAUUGUCAGAGAUUACAGAUGCGCGUUGUAGCAAAGACUCAGAUUGUAAAAAAUAUUGUC